GAUUGAAAACAAAAUAAUAAAGUGUCUACUAAAAUGGCAAUGGGGGUCAGACCCUGACCCAUAUUUAAUGUUGUUAAAUUACCAAAUGACAUCAGUGGAGCGUGGGUUGUCAUCUGCUGACAUCUUGUUCAAUAGAAAACUGAAAACAGGGUUGUCUGGGCUGCUGGAAGUGUAUGUCAGAGUCAGUGGAUACUUGUAGACAUGCAGAGUGAUAGAUAAGAUAAAACAACAAUACCCGGUGUGAUUUAAGGGCCCAGAAGCUGCAGCCACCUCACAAAAAUGAAGCCGUGCAUGUCUGUGCUGGGAAGCUGUGGCUGCAAACAGCACGGAAUGACUGUGCUGGGAAGCUGUGGCUGCAAACAGCACAGUUGUCAAAAUAUGUAGCCUAAUCUAGUCACUUCUAAAUGUGUGUGCCAUCACUCAGGUGUGUGCUGGGGAGAACUAGGUGAGCCUCUUCCAACCCCAGCAGGCAGGAGAUACAAUGAACUGGUGCCACAGAGUCAAAAACUCCAAGGGACUGCAAUGAACAGGGUCUAGAACAAAACCAGAACAGUCGAAAUCAAAAAAUAAAAAGGAAGUUGUGCUUUUUUCUCAUGGAGUCAAGGCAACCCCAGUCUGAAGGGGAUGACUGUGUGGUCUGAUGGCUGUGACUGCACUCCUCUGGAAACAGCUCCGUGUCAUUCCAGGAGAGCCAUGCCCAGCUCCUAUCAGUACCUGGAGAUAUAAAAAAGAGAAGGAAGGAAAGAAAGCAAAUAGAUGAGACAGAUCUUAAGGCAUACAAGCAUGCAGUCCAUGAGGUUAAUGGAUGCACCAGCAUCCUGCCUAGCUGUGCUAGAUCACUGACACUGUCUCAAUGGUGCCAUCUGAGAGUUCUGGGACAUCAACUUCCUUUAAGAAAUACCCCUACUCACCACUGACCUUCUUUUUUGAACAUAACGUUAGAGGAUAACCUAGAGGACAGAAGGGAAUGAAAUGUGCUUGGUGCUCUUUUGGAAGAGGCCCCACAUUGCAGAGAUGAUGGUUUUGGUCCAGCAAUGCAGUUUUUUGCUCAUGCCUUCAGCUCACAAGUGAACCCCUACUCACAGGUGUAACUCAUGUCUAAUACCUGUUUUAGGUUUCUUGUCUUAGGACCUAUUCCAAAAAUAUCUUC
rnacentral:lncRNA from 12 species